rnacentral:tRNA from 1 species
GCUUCUGUGGCUCAGUGGUAGAGCGCGUCCUUGGUAAGGACGAGGUCGUGAGUUCAAUCCUCGCCAGAAGCU